rnacentral:rRNA from 1 species
GACGAACGCUGGCGGCGUGCCUAAUACAUGCAAGUUGAACGCAACAAAGACACCAGAGCUUGCUCUACCGUCUUUGUUGAGUAGCGAACGGGUGAGUAACGCGUGGGUAACCUGCCUUAUAGCGGGGGAUAACUAUUGGAAACGAUAGCUAAUACCGCAUAACAAUAGAGAUUGCAUAAUCUUUAUUUGAAAGUGCCAACUAGUACACUAUGAGAUGGACCCGCGUUGUAUUAGCUAGUUGGUAGUGUAAUGGAUACCAAGGCGAUGAUACAUAGCCGACCUGAGAGGGUGAUCGGCCACAUUGGGACUGAGACACGGCCCAAACUCCUAACGGGAGGCAGCAGUAGGGAAUCUUCGGCAAUGGACGAAAGUCUGACCGAGCAACG